UACGUAGGGUGCGAGCGUUGUCCGGAAUUAUUGGGCGUAAAGAGCUCGUAGGCGGUUUGUCGCGUCGAAUGUGAAAACCCGGGGCUCAACCCCGGGCCUGCAUUCGAUACGGGCAGACUAGAGUUCGGUAGGGGAGUCUGGAAUUCCUGGUGUAGCGGUGAAAUGCGCAGAUAUCAGGAGGAACACCGGUGGCGAAGGCGGGUCUCUGGGCCGUAACUGACGCUGAGGAGCGAAAGCAUGGGGAGCGAACAGG
rnacentral:rRNA from 1 species